CUCCAGGCCCCGCCCCUUCCUCCUCCGGUGCUAACAGGGGAGAUCUUCCACCGGGAUCUCUCAGGUCCUUCCCAGCUGCAACAAGGAAAACGGAGAGAGAGGAAGCGUUUCCAAGCCGAGUGUUGCCCGUGGCUCAGGAUUUACCUGGGCAGGUUGCUCUGGGUGCUUCCAUUUUCUGUCUCCAAAAUCAAGUGACCGAAUGCUGUCCAAACAUCUCCUGUUUCUGAAAUGCCAUGCGGGACUUUGCAGAGGACACACAGAUGUGGCAUCGGUCCUAACAAGCGAGGCCUAAGAAACAGAUGUCCAGGUUGGGCAGGAAGAAGCCAGCCCAUUAAGAAGGGGCUAAGAAGCUGCAGCAUCAACAUCAAUAAGUCCCAACAAAUCCCACAGUAAUUCCAGCUGGUGUGGGACGCAGCUGACUUGACUUCCCAGUUACGUUGCUGCCGUGGACGCACGCGCCUUGGCCAGGUGGGAAUCCUUCGUGGGCAGCAAGAAGAAUCAUUUCUGCGGAAGAGGGAAGAGCUGGGGUCGGAGCACAGCAGGUUAUCUGGAAGCUCAAAUGAGGCAAAAUGCAUGAAGAUUUUGUAAAGCACCAUCCAUAGUAUGUUACAAGGAUGUGGUUUUGGG